AAGAAGCAGCGGCAGAAAGAUGAAAGAGAUGCUGUCAGUCCUUCCGAUAGAGAUUCAGUGAUGAAGACCAUGCCGAAAAUGAUUUUUUUUUACAUCGACGGUAUUGUAUUAGUGAUGAAGACCAUGCCGGAAGUGAUGAAGACCAUGCUGGAAAAUGGUGUCAGCGUGCUCAACAAAUAACUUACAAUACCGAUACUGUACUUUUAGAUCACAGUCGUUAGAACUAAACGUGGAAGUUCAAACAUAAUCAAUGUGACGCUGAUCUUCUUCUUUUGCAUGCAACUAACUGUAAUGCACUUUAUUAAUACAAUUACUUCAAUGGCAGAGAAAGGAACCUGGAAAAAUAACUCUCCCGGCUCAAAACUUGCAAGCCAGCUGGUUCAUUUCUAGGGAGUAUCUCAGAAACUGUUGCUUGCACGAAAGUUCAUAGCAUAGGGCAUAUGUCGCCAGAAAAACAGGGCAUUUGUUCAAAAGUCUGAACAUGAUUCAUGUCUGGAAUGUGGAUUUCAGUUGAAAACGACAAAUUACUUAAACAACUGGUACUGACAAGUAUUUACAGAAAAAUGCACUCAGUAACAAGGAAGACUUAUUAGGUUCAAAUGACACCGCUGAGUAACUUCUAAAUUCACAUCAAUAAAGUCUAAAACCACCAGCACAAGAUGAAGACGACAAUAGAUUCACUGAAAACUACAGCACCAGUAGAUAUGUCAGACUACUUAUCAUCACAUCUUGUGACAAAACUCUAUAACUGAAGUAGGAGAUGAAUCCAAAAAAUGUAAGACCUAGCUAUCACCAUGACAUACUAUUUAAACGUGUAUGUGUAUUAUUGUCAAAAAUCUCAUUUGAAUGACUAGUACAAGAA